rnacentral:rRNA from 1 species
AUGGGACUUGAGGCAAGUCUGGCAGAAGCUCUGUCCACUAUCGAAGCUAUUGAGGCUAAUAUUGACAUGAUGGGAAAAAAGAACCUAGACGAAGCUAUCAUGUGGUACAAUAAAUUUCUCGGUUUUGAAGUUUUUGCAGGAGAAGUAAUUCAGUGUAUUCCAUUGCUUGAAGACACUGAAGAAUUGUUGAAGGACUGCACUAAUGAUCUCUUCAAGUUUGUUAGAAACACGAGAGCAAGAUUCCAGCUGCUACCGUUAAAGGGGUUCAUCCCACAAGUUCAUGUUGCCCAGACACAUCAUCCAUAA